CAUGGCUCAGAGCGAACGCUGGCGGCAGGCCUAACACAUGCAAGUCGAACGGACCCUUCGGGGUUAGUGGCGGACGGGUGAGUAACACGUGGGAACGUGCCUUUAGGUUCGGAAUAGCUCCGGGAAACGGGUGGUAAUGCCGAAUGUGCCCUUCGGGGGAAAGAUUUAUCGCCUUUAGAGCGGCCCGCGUCUGAUUAGCUAGUUGGUGAGGUAAUGGCUCACCAAGGCGACGAUCAGUAGCUGGUCUGAGAGGAUGACCAGCCACAUUGGGACUGAGACACGGCCCAAACUCCUACGGGAGGCAGCAGUGGGGAAUCUUGCGCAAUGGGCGAAAGCCUGACGCAGCCAUGCCGCGUGAAUGAUGAAGGUCUUAGGAUUGUAAAAUUCUUCACCGGGGACGAUAAGACG
rnacentral:rRNA from 1 species